rnacentral:rRNA from 1 species
AUUGAACGCUGGCGGCAUGCCUUACACAUGCAAGUCGAACGGCAGCACGGGUGCUUGCCCCUGGUGGCGAGUGGCGAACGGGUGAGUAAUACAUCGGAACGUACCUUAUCGUGGGGGAUAACGCAGCGAAAGUUGCGCUAAUACCGCAUACGCCCUGAGGGGGAAAGCGGGGGACCGUAAGGCCUCGCGCGAUUAGAGCGGCCGACGUCUGAUUAGCUUGUUGGUGAGGUAAAAGCUCACCAAGGCGAUGAUCAGUAGCUGGUCUGAGAGGACGAUCAGCCACACUGGGACUGAGACACGGCCCAGACUCCUACGGGAGGCAGCAGUGGGGAAUUUUGGACAAUGGGGGCAACCCUGAUCCAGCAAUGCCGCGUGAGUGAAGAAGGCCUUCGGGUUGUAAAGCUCUUUUGUCAGGGAAGAAACAGCAGCUCUAACACAGUCUGCGAAUGACGGUACCUGAAGAAUAAGCACCGGCUAACUACGUGCCAGCAGCCGCAGUAA